rnacentral:rRNA from 1 species
UUAAUUUUGCCAAUGGGCGCAAGCCUGAUCCAGCCAUGCCGCGUGCAGGAUGAAGGCCUUCGGGUUGUAAACUGCUUUUGUACGGAACGAAAAGACUCUUUCUAAUAAAGAGGGUCCAUGACGGUACCGUAAGAAUAAGCACCGGCUAACUACGUGCCAGCAGCCGCGGUAAUA